UACGUAGGGGGCAAGCGUUGUCCGGAAUUAUUGGGCGUAAAGAGCGCGUAGGCGGUCCGAUAAGUCGGCUGUGAAAGUCAAGGGCUCAACCCUUGAAAGCCGGCCGAUACUGCCGGGCUAGAAUCCGGAAGAGGCGAGUGGAAUUCCUGGUGUAGCGGUGGAAUGCGCAGAUAUCAGGAGGAACACCAAUAGCGAAGGCAGCUCGCUGGGACGGUAUUGACGCUAAGGCGCGAAAGCGUGGGGAGCAAACAGG
rnacentral:rRNA from 1 species